GUGUUGGUAGUUUAAUUAAAAUUCCGACCUUUCAAGUCGGCGAUGAAGGUAAAAUCCUUCCCACACG
rnacentral:tRNA from 1 species